AGAGUUUGAUCAUGGCUCAGAAUCAACGCUGGCGGCGUGCCUAACACAUGCAAGUCGAACGAGAAAGUCCCGCAAGGGAUGAGUAAAGUGGCGCACGGGUGAGUAACACGUAGCUAACCUGCCCUCGAGUGGGGGAUAACCUGGGGAAACUCGGGCUAAUACCGCAUAACGUCCUGGUUGCGCAAGCAGCUGGGGUCAAA
rnacentral:rRNA from 1 species